UUCCGUCUUCCGAACACGAGUUCUGACUUGUGCUCUCUUCUCUCUUCCAACACGGUCUAUCAAUUUUGCUCCGGUCGUUUUGCUUUUCCGAUCAUCUGUUUGCUUUGUAGUGAUAUUUCGAUGGAGCUGGAGUCAAUAUUUUGAGGAGUGGAAUGUCUUAAGAUUUGGAAGAGCGGACCCAAGCGAAUGAUUACGGUUAAGGUGAUGGUUACGAUUUCUUGAAUUUGCUUUCUCUGGGUGAUCUCACUGAUCUGCUUGGUCUUGAUCAACAGUCUCCUGCGUUGUUUUGGAUCGUUUAAUUGUUCGGGUUCUUCAUUUUGGUGUAAACUUUUGCAUCCUUCUUGGCAUAUCAACUUUGAAAAGGUUUUGUGAGCAGUGUGCUAUUGAAGUCUUCAACUGCUUUGUGUUCAGUUGCUUGAAACAUUGGAGCUAUCACAAGCAGAAAUACGCCAAAGUCCCGCUGCAACGCGUGGGCAUCUUUCUAGAUUGUUACGAUGAAGCCAAAAUCGAAAGGUCAGUCGAGUAAUAGUACUGAUCAAUCCCUAGGGAAGCAUGAUACUGAUUCCUGCUAUGAUUUCACCAAGUUGAAAGAGGCGCUACAUCUAGCACACAACUCUCUCAUCAACAAUUUUGCAGUUGAUAACUCCAUUGCUAUGCAGAAUAAGAGUACCGCAUCAUGCGUUUAUGACUUCAGCAAGGUGGCCGAGGCACUGGCUAUGAUGGAUAAAGAGGCUUUAUCUGCUCUUUCAUUCAGUCAAAUGAAAAAAGAGUUCUCAAAAUCAAUCAAGAAAGAUAGUGACAAUAAGGAAGUGGGUGUAGAUGAUCUUGGACUAGGUCAGAGGCUCGUGAUUGGAAGGGGGCGCAUCUCAAGAACCAAGAAGAAGAGAGAUGAUGAGCUUCUUAAGGUCAAGAAAGCAGAACAUAAAACGAUUCUUAAGGAGAUGAAGACGAAGAGAUGGAAAGACACGUUUCUCUUAACUCUGAAAUCACUAAAGAAGUGCAGCUAAGAGUUUUAGUUAUUGGUAAGCAUAUAGUUCUGUUAUUAUCUUGUUUAUGUUGGUUAAAAGCCUUGGCUCAUCACUUGAGAGACAAAAGUUCAUUGGUUUUCAUCUCCAUUGAUUCACAUUACACAAAACAUACUCACUGAAGAAGAGUACACAUUUAGAUAAGAGAAUUCAGUUGAUAUAUUAGCAUUUGAUUUUUAUAACUUGCUUAUAAGGUGUGUUUAAAAUAACUGUUGUGGAUCAUUCUUAAGCAGUAAAUGUAGUAGCUGUACGCUAGUUCCUACACUAGAAUUACAUGAAUUUAACUUGCCAAAUGUAAACCAUAUUAUUCGCAUCCUCAGCAGACAAGAUGCAUGCAAAACUUCAGCAUUGAUCUCAUUUUACAUUUUGAUCUCAAAAUCAGUGAAGAUCUCUGUAAUUUCAUCUUCAGAUUUCACAUAAUUGAGUCGUAUCUCCUUCUUG